UACCAGCACCCCGAGUGGUCGGGACGAUUAUUGGGCCUAAAGCAUCCGUAGCCGGUCAUGCAAGUCUUCCGUUAAAUCCACCUGCUUAACAGAUGGGCUGCGGAAGAUACUAUGGAGCUAGGAGGCGGGAGAGGCAAGCGGUACUCGAUGGGUAGGGGUAAAAUCCGUUGAUCCAUUGAAGACCACCAGUGGCGAAGGCGGCUUGCCAGAACGCGCUCGACGGUGAGGGAUGAAAGCUGGGGGAGCAAACCGG
rnacentral:rRNA from 1 species